UAUUGACUUAGUCAGCAAUGUGUGAACAUAUUUGACAGUAAUAGUAUGACAGUAAUGACAGUAUGAAAGACUUUAAUUUGUGUGUAAAGGUUACAUACCCGCAGCAGACAGUGAGCGACAGCAUGUAACAGAAAGUUAAGAAGAAUGAAAGCUUUAAAGGUCCCACAUUAUUCUGUUUUUCAUCAAUUUCAAACAGCUGUCAAAGGUCCAACAACACUGUAUUCAAAAUUUAUUGACCCAAACUCAUCUGUGGUCCGGAAUUUCAGCCAUCUAAAAGUCGCAUUGAGAGCAAGCUGUUUGUGUGACUGCACCUUUAAAUGCUAAUGAGCUCCAUCUGCCAAUGCCUGCCUUGCUACACCCCCUGCUACACACCCCUCUCAGGGAAAGGAUGCUGCUUACGCUAAUGCUAGCUCCUGCUAAUGGUAAAGGGUCUGCAAAGAUUCGGCCCUUCAUACACAUUAAUAUGAUCAGGAAGAAGGAAGUGAGGCUGGGCGUCAACAACUUGAUGUCUGUUAAACACAAACAAAACCACAUAAGACAAACACUUACACCAACCCUGUCUUCAAAGGACCACGUACAUUUCUCAUGCAUGUGAUCGUAAGGAGAAGCGAUGAGUUUAACAGCAGCAGCAAGUGGAUUCGUUGUCUUCCUUCUCUUUGUACAAGGAUGACCAGCAGAGAGCUGUGUCUGUUUUGUACACCAGCAGCAUCUCUGUACACUUUUGCCAAAAAAGAAAAAAGAAUACUGCUUUACACUUGUCGACUGUAGCUUUGACAAAUGUGUGGGGUGAGUACAAGGCCGCAAGGAAACAACCAG